rnacentral:tRNA from 1 species
AUCUUUCUAGUACCAAACAGUAUUAGUGGCUUCCAACCACCAGGUCUUGGUUUAACCCCAAGGAAAGAUA